GAUCAUGGCUCAGAUUGAACGCUGGCGGCAGGCCUAACACAUGCAAGUCGAACGGUAACAGGAAGAAGCUUGCUUCUUUGCUGACGAGUGGCGGACGGGUGAGUAAUGUCUGGGAAACUGCCUGAUGGAGGGGGAUAACUACUGGAAACGGUAGCUAAUACCGCAUAACGUCGCAAGACCAAAGAGGGGGACCUUCGGGCCUCUUGCCAUCGGAUGUGCCCAGAUGGGAUUAGCUAGUAGGUGGGGUAACGGCUCACCUAGGCGACGAUCCCUAGCUGGUCUGAGAGGAUGACCAGCCACACUGGAACUGAGACACGGUCCAGACUCCUACGGGAGGCAGCAGUGGGGAAUAUUGCACAAUGGGCGCAAGCCUGAUGCAGCCAUGCCGCGUGUAUGAAGAAGGCCUUCGGGUUGUAAAGUACUUUCAGCGGGGAGGAAGGGAGUAAAGUUAAUACCUUUGCUCAUUGACGUUACCCGCAGAAGAAGCACCGGCUAACUCCGUGCCAGCAGCCGCGGUAUACGGAGGGUGCAAGCGUUAAUCGGAAUUACUGGGCGUAAAGCGCACGCAGGCGGUUUGUUAAGUCAGAUGUGAAAUCCCCGGGCUCAACCUGGGAACUGCAUCUGAUACUGGCAAGCUUGAGUCUCGUAGAGGGGGGUAGAAUUCCAGGUGUAGCGGUGAAAUGCGUAGAGAUCUGGAGGAAUACCGGUGGCGAAGGCGGCCCCCUGGACGAAGACUGACGCUCAGGUGCGAAAGCGUGGGGAGCAAACAGGAUUAGAUACCCUGGUAGUCCACGCCGUAAACGAUGUCGACUUGGAGGUUGUGCCCUUGAGGCGUGGCUUCCGGAGCUAACGCGUUAAGCCGACCGCCUGGGGAGUACGGCCGCAAGGUUAAAACUCAAAUGAAUUGACGGGGGCCCGCACAGGCGGUGGAGCAUGUGGUUUAAUUCGAUGCAACGCGAAGAACCUUACCUGGUCUUGACAUCCACGGAAGUUUUCAGAGAUGAGAAUGUGCCUUCGGGAACCGUGAGACAGGUGCUGCAUGGCUGUCGUCAGCUCGUGUUGUGAAAUGUUGGGUUAAGUCCCGCAACGAGCGCAACCCUUAUCCUUUGUUGCCAGCGGUCCGGCCGGGAACUCAAAGGAGACUGCCAGUGAUAAACUGGAGGAAGGUGGGGAUGACGUCAAGUCACCAUGGCCCUUACGACCAGGGCUACACACGUGCUACAAUGGCGCAUACAAAGAGAAGCGACCUCGCGAGAGCAAGCGGACCUCAUAAAGUGCGUCGUAGUCCGGAUUGGAGUCUGCAACUCGACUCCAUGAAGUCGGAAUCGCUAGUAAUCGUGGAUCAGAAUGCCACGGUGAAUACGUUCCCGGGCCUUGUACACACCGCCCGUCACACCAUGGGAGUGGGUUGCAAAAGAAGUAGGUAGCUUAACCUUCGGGAGGGCGCUUACCACUUUGUGAUUCAUGACUGGGGUGAAGUCGUAACAAGGUA
rnacentral:rRNA from 1 species